UACCUACGGGAGGCAGCAGUGAGGAAUAUCGGUCAAUGGGCGGAAGCCUGAACCAGCCAAGUCGCGUGAGGGAUUAAGGCCCUAUGGGUCGUAAACCUCUUUUGUCAGGGAGCAAGGUCGUCCACGUGUGGGCGUAUGGAGAGUACCUGAAGAAAAAGCAUCGGCUAACUCCGUGCCAGCAGCCGCGGUAAUACGGAGGAUGCGAGCGUUAUCCGGAUUUAUUGGGUUUAAAGGGUGCGUAGGCGGAGUGUCAAGUCAGCGGUAAAAUUUCGGGGCUCAACCCCGUCGUGCCGUUGAAACUGACG
rnacentral:rRNA from 1 species